rnacentral:rRNA from 1 species
UACGUAGGGGGCAAGCGUUGUCCGGAUUUACUGGGCGUAAGGAGCGUGUAGGCGACCUCACAGGUCCGUUGUGAAAACUGAAGGCUUAACCUUCAGACGUCGACGGAAACCGUGUGGCUAGAGUCCGGAAGAGGAGAGUGGAAUUCCUGGUGUAGCGGUGAAAUGCGCAGAUAUCAGGAAGAACACCAAUGGCGAAGGCAGCUCUCGGGGACGGUACUGACGCUGAGACGCGAAAGCGUGGGGAGCAAACAGG